UACGGAGGGUGCAAGCGUUGUUCGGAAUCACUGGGCGUAAAGCGCGUGUAGGCGGCCUUCUAAGUCUGGUGUGAAAGCCCGGGGCUCAUCCCCGGAAGUGCACUGGAAACUGGGAGGCUUGAGUACCGGAGAGGAGGGUGGAAUUCCUGGUGUAGCGGUGAAAUGCGUAGAUAUCAGGAGGAACACCGGUGGCGAAGGCGGCCCUCUGGACGGAUACUGACGCUGAGACGCGAAAGCGUGGGUAGCGAACAGG
rnacentral:rRNA from 1 species